rnacentral:lncRNA from 1 species
UUUGGCGUUAUGUGGGCCAUUAUUAUUAUUAUUAUUAUUAUUAUUAUUAAGACUAUUUUAUUAUUAUUAUUAUUAUUAUUAUUAUUAUUAUUAGGAAAAAUUUCAAAAACUCCUAUCUGGUUUCGUAGUUUCUUACUUUGUCCUCCUGUGGUUUAAAAUGUAUCAAUUUAUUCUCUUGUAAUUUUUUUUUCUCUUUUUCUUAUCAAUUUUAUUAUUUUUUUCUUAAAUCAGUUAUAAAGUUAAAAUUAAAGAAUACUAAUGUGAAUAUUUGAUAAAUCUAGAUGGAUAUCUAAAAUUUUUUGUAUAUAAUUUAAUGAAAUAUUAACGAAAAAGCUAUCGAAAAGAUAAAAACCAAACCACAGGAGGACAAAUUGAAAUAUUUUAAACCAUAAAGAGCCAAAGUGAGAAACUACGAAACCACAAAAAGGUUUUUAAAGUUUUCCCUUAUUAUUAUUAUUAUUAUUAUUAUUAUUAUUAAGGCUAUUUUAUUAUUAUUAUUAUUAUUAUUAUUAUUAUUAUUAUUAAUAAGGCUUUUUUUUUAUAUUCCUUUCUUUGGUAGAGUGGGAAAGUAUUGGGUACUGUGGGGGCGAAAUUGAGGACAUGCCAACGCAGUUCAACAGCUGUUAAUAAAAGAAAAAAAAAAUUUGUUGGAUUGCCAUUCAACUAUAUCAAUCAGUAGUUAGGGGUCUUUCCCUUUGAUGUAAUUAAAAAUACAAUUAAUUUCAUACUGGUCCCUGCAACAUAAUAAAUUAUAAAUAUAUUUUUAUAAAGUUCAAUUUUCAUAUAUUGUUUCUAUAAAAAUUUUAAUAUUUUUUAAAUAUGUCUUUCUGAUUUGUUACCGUUAAAUCACUGUUUAUUUUAUAAAUAAAAUGACCUUUUUGACAUCACUCUAAAAGUUCUAACGGUAAAUUAAAGAGGGAUAAAAAUGUUGAUUCAUCUUAUUAACUAACUCGGGUUAAGUAUUUUAUCUAUGGUUAACUAAUUUUUUCUAACGAAUCAUAGCGGCAUGAACAUAUUUGAAAAUAUCACGACUUUUAUAGUGACAAUAUAUGAAAGUUAAACUUUAUAAAGAUAUAUUUAUAAUUCACUAUAUUUAUAGAGACCUGUAUGAAAUUAAUCCUUAAUAAAAAAUAUAAUAUAAUUAUAGUUAUAUAUAUCUCGCUUGGAUGGAUACAGUAUGAAGUAUUGUAAUAAUUAUAAAUAAUUUAUUUGGUGCAUUCAAUUAAAAUGUGCCUUUGUAAAAUUUUAUCGCUUUACAUAUAUAUCAUAGUGAAAUUAUGUCCAAUAUAAGAUAGAAUUAUUUAAAAAGCAAUUCAAGAGUUAGCGGUUAGAUUCAAACACAUCGAACCGAAUGUCGAAUUUGAAUUUGCAUAUAUAGAUGCAACAAAAUAGCCUUUUAAGUCGGUCGAACUACUGAUGUCAGUAUAAUAUCAUAAAUAAUUCUGGGCAUUUCGGGAUAA